GAAGAAUGAGAUGCGGAAAGUUUGUUAGGAAUAAUUUAUGUCGAGCAGUGAAGAUUUAGUAAGGUAGGAAAUGGCUAUUUGCUCAAGAAAUAAUAUAGAAGUACAUGCAAGAAUAAACAUCAAGAAUAAACAUACAUAACAGUAAAGGUAGGUAAUCGUCAGAGGUCAGAUAACUGAUGUGCAAGUUAUUAUAAUGUGCAGACAUAUAAUUUCCACCACAUGUAUUUUUUUUUUUUUGUUAAUCUACCAGUGAUGAGUGCAAGAGCAGGUUAUAGGAAUGUGUAUAGACUUGAAAAUAAAAAAAACAGUAAGAAUUUUUAAGUUCAGCUUAUCAACUUAAUUUGAUGAACAAAGUCAUGUUUGAUAGAGUUAGCUAGAUUUGGUGAGAAAAA